AGUAAGGUCAGCUAAUUUAAGCUCUCGGUCUCAUGAAUCGAACAUGUUGGUUAAAGUCCCUCCAUUGCUA
rnacentral:tRNA from 1 species